AGUGAACGCUGGCGGUAGGCCUAACACAUGCAAGUCGAACGGCAGCACAGUAAGAGCUUGCUCUUACGGGUGGCGAGUGGCGGACGGGUGAGGAAUACAUCGGAAUCUACUUUUUCGUGGGGGAUAACGUAGGGAAACUUACGCUAAUACCGCAUACGACCUACGGGUGAAAGCAGGGGAUCUUCGGACCUUGCGCGAUUGAAUGAGCCGAUGUCGGAUUAGCUAGUUGGCGGGGUAAAGGCCCACCAAGGCGACGAUCCGUAGCUGGUCUGAGAGGAUGAUCAGCCACACUGGAACUGAGACACGGUCCAGACUCCUACAGGAGGCAGCAGUGGGGAAUAUUGGACAAUGGGCGCAAGCCUGAUCCAGCCAUACCGCGUAGGUGAAGAAGGCGUUCGGGUUGUAAAGCCCUUUUGUUGGGAAAGAAAAGCAGCAGGUUAAUACCCCGCUGUUCUGACGGUACCCAAAGAAUAAGCACCGGCUAACUUCGUG
rnacentral:rRNA from 1 species